AAUUAUGUAAUCUUUGUUUUUAUAUUGUUUCUGUGUCUCGUAGUAUAACUGUUUCAACUGAAUUUGGCUUUGCGUAGAUUUGUUUGUUAAUUUAUAUGUACAGAUGCUGGGAUAGUUAAUUUAGCUUUUCGGAGGGAGUUUAUUUUGGUUUUGUGGUCAUAUUUUUGGAAUUUAAUGUUGUUAACCAAUUAGGUUAAAUUUAGUAAUUUUUUCGAGGUGUCAGUUGUAAUUUG
rnacentral:misc_RNA from 1 species